GAUAAAGAACGUAGCGAAAUGCGAUACUUGGUGUGAAUUGCAGAAUCCCGUGAACCAUCGAGUCUUUGAACGCAAGUUGCGCCCGAAGCCAUCAGGUUGAGGGCACGUCUGCCUGGGCGUCACAUAUCGUUGCCCAAUGCCUAUUGCAGUGCAAUAGGAAUUUCUAGGGCGAAUGAUGGCUUCCCGUGAGCGUUGUUGCCUCGCGGUUGGUUGAAAAUCGAGUCCUUGGUAGGGUGUGCCAUGGUAGAUGGUGGUCGAGUUAGAACGAUACCGAUCAUGUGCAUGCUCCCCAAAAUAUGGCCUCUAUGACCCACACGCGUCUUUUGACGCUCAUGACGAGACCUCAGGUCAGGCGGGGCUACCCGCUGAAUUUAAGCAUAUCAAUAAGCGGAGGA
rnacentral:misc_RNA from 1 species